UUUUUUUUUUUUUAAAGCUACUAUGCCUGCUUUUCUGAUUUCACAGAUUUCUGAAUUCUUGGGAGCAGCAGCUUAUCAUGCCGAGGUCACCUGUUCAUCUGUUUGUUCCAGUACAGCAGUGUCAUUACUGUGUUGCUCUCCAGCAUUAGGCUGCAGCUCGGAAGAGGCAAGAGCCGUGUUCAGCACAGGCUCAAAUGUUUCAUGGCCAACGAGGGUGCAGAAACCACAGCGUGGGGAUCUCAUUUGAUGGCGUUGCAGCUGGCUGCAUAGCCUGCCACAGGAGUUAGGAGGAGACGAGGAGCUGCCUGUGGGAGGGUUGUGUCACCGGGGACGUAUGGCCUUGUCCUGCAGGCACCACGGAGGCUGGUCCCUGGGUGAGCUUGGCAGUGACUACACACCUUCUCAUCCCCAAAGCCCUUGAGCCUACACGAGCAUCGCCCACCUCCUGGCUCACUGCAGUGACCAGCUGGGUGCAGCAAGGGGUCUGGACGAGCACCAGGUUGUCCCCAGCUCCAUCCCCUUUUGCCUUUCCAUCUCCUUCUUUUUUUUUUUUCCUUGCCCUGCGCCUUUUCAUUCAUCUCCUCUCUUCCCUUGGCUAAUUCAUGCUUUUCCAGGCGCUUUUUAUCACUGCCACCGUUUCCCCCGCUUGCCCUUGAUCCAUGGUGCAGUAACAAGGGUGUCGGUGGGGGGGUGGCAGAUGGCGGCGGCGGCGGGGCCGGGCCGGGGCUCAUCCAUCACCGCCGGGCCAGCGCUGGAAGGGCUGAGCCGAAGCAAGGUAAUUGUUGGCGGAGAGGAGGCAUUUUUCACCGCUGACGAGGAGGAGAGGUGCGGGGUUGUGCUAAUGCCAUGGUGAAGGAUUAAUUCAUCACGGUUUCUCUUUUUUUCUUUAAUUCAUCCCUUCUCGAUCAGCGCCGCAAUCCUCCCAAAUGCCAGGCAGCUGGGAAGUCUCCAGCCGAAACCUCUCCACCGAGCGGAGCCGAUGGGAAGCAGCUGAGACCGGUGCUGCUCUUGUCAUUAUCAUCCCCAUCACUGAAGUCAAAGG
rnacentral:lncRNA from 1 species